rnacentral:misc_RNA from 1 species
CCAAUAGCGUAUAUUAAAGUUGUUGCAGUUAAAAAGCUCGUAGUUGAAUUUCGGGAUUGACACAUCGGUCGUGCCUUAAGGGGUAUGAACUGGUGUAGCCAAUUUCUCACCUUCUGGAGAACCGCGAUGUCCUUAAUUGGGUGCCGCGAGGAACCAGGACCUUUACUUUGAAAAAAUUAGAGUGUUUAAAGCAGGCAUUUUGCUUGAAUACCUUAGCAUGGACUAAUAAAAUAGGACGGCAUGAUUCUAUUUUGUUGGUUUCUAGGAUCACCGUAAUGAUUAAUAGGGAUAGUUGGGGGCAUUAGUAUUCAAUUGUCAGAGGUGAAAUUCUUGGAUUUAAUGAAGACUAACUACUGCGAAAGCAUUUGCCAAGGAUGUUUUCAUUAAUCAAGAACGAAAGUUAGGGGAUCGAAGACGAUCAGAUACCGUCGUAGUCUUAACCAUAAACUAUGCCGACUAGGAAUCAGACGAUGUUAAUUUUUUAAUGACUCGUUUGGCACCUUACG